UCCUACGGGGGGCAGCAGUAGGGAAUUUUCGUCAAUGGGCGCAAGCCUGAACGAGCAAUGCCGCGUGAACGAGGAAGGUCUUCGGAUCGUAAAGUUCUGUUGAAGGGGAAAAAGAGCGGAGAGAGGAAAUGGUCUCCGAUUGAUAUUACCCUUCGAGGAAGUCACGGCUAACUACGUGCCAGCAGCCGCGGUAAUACGUAGGUGGCGAGCGUUAUCCGGAAUGAUUGGGCGUAAAGGGUGCGUAGGCGGCCUGCUAAGUCUGGAGUGAAAGGUACCGGCUCAACCGGUACAGGCUCUGAAAACUG
rnacentral:rRNA from 1 species